CCUACGGGGGGCAGCAGUGGGGAAUAUUGCACAAUGGGCGCAAGCCUGAUGCAGCCAUGCCGCGUGUAUGAAGAAGGCCCUAGGGUUGUAAAGUACUUUCAGUCGGGAGGAAGGCGUUGAUGCUAAUAUCAUCAACGAUUGACGUUACCGACAGAAGAAGCACCGGCUAACUCCGUGCCAGCAGCCGCGGUAAUACGGAGGGUGCAAGCGUUAAUCGGAAUUACUGGGCGUAAAGCGCACGCAGGCGGUUGAUUAAGUUAGAUGUGAAAUCCCCGGGCUUAACCUGGGAAUGGCAUCUAAGACUGGUCAGCUAGAGUCUUGUAGAGGGGGGUAGAAUUCCAUGUGUAGCGGUGAAAUGCGUAGAGAUGUGGAGGAAUACCGGUGGCGAAGGCGGCCCCCUGGACAAAGACUGACGCUCAGGUGCGAAAGCGUGGGGAG
rnacentral:rRNA from 1 species